rnacentral:tRNA from 1 species
GGAGAGGUGGCAGAGUGGUCGAAUGCGGCGGUCUCGAAAACCGUUGUGGCCGCAAGGUCACCGGAGGUUCGAAUCCUCUCCUCUCCGCCA